rnacentral:rRNA from 1 species
AUUGAACGCUGGCGGCAGGCUUAACACAUGCAAGUCGAGCGAGCGGCGGACGGGUGAGUAAUGUCUGGGGAACUGCCUGAUGGAGGGGGAUAACUACUGGAAACGGUAGCUAAUACCGCAUACCAUCGGAUGUACCCAGAUGGGAUUAGCUAGUAGGUGGGGUAAAGGCUCACCUAGGCGACGAUCCCUAGCUGGUCUGAGAGGAUGACCAGCCACACUGGAACUGAGACACGGCCCAGACUCCUACGGGAGGCAGCAGUGGGGAAUAUUGCACAAUGGGCGCAAGCCUGAUGCAGCCAUGCCGCGUGUAUGAAGAAGGCCUUCGGGUUGUAAAGUACUUUCAGCGGGGAGGCGUUACCCACAGAAGAAGCACCGGCUAACUCCGUGCCAGCAGCCGCGGUAAUAC